rnacentral:rRNA from 1 species
UGGGGAAUAUUGGGCAAUGGGCGAAAGCCUGACCCAGCGACGCCGCGUGGGGGAAGAAGUCUCUCGGGAUGUAAACCCUUGUUGUACGGGACGAAGGACGUGACGGUACCGUACGAGGAAGCCCCGGCAAACUACGUGCCAGCAGCCGCGGUAAUACGUAGGGGGCGAGCGUUGUCCGGAAUCACUGGGCGUAAAGCGCACGUAGGCGGGCUGUUAAGUCGGCCGUAAAAGGCACUGGCUCAACCGGUGUUUGUCGGUCGAUACUGGCGGUCUGGAGUAUGGGAGAGGGAGGUGGAAUUCCGGGUGUAGUGGUGAAAUGCGUAGAUAUCCGGAGGAACACCAGUGGCGAAAGCGACUUGCUGGGCAGCAACUGACGCUGAGGCGCGAAAGCCAGGGGAGCAAACGG